rnacentral:tRNA from 1 species
GAGGGUAUGGCUCAGGGGCAGAGCACGUGCUUAGCAAGCAUGAGGUUCUGGGUUCAAUCCCCAGUACCUCCA